GCAAACUGCAGUUCAUCUGUCCAAAUCAAACACGUUGAAACUCAACUUCCCUGGCAGUGGAGAGGAUCACACAUAUCAUUCAAGAGAAGGGGGAGGAUGUCAAAAGAAAUGAGUGUGAAGAAUUAAGGGAAAAUGCUGAGCCCGGCAGAAAUGUCCUUCUUGAAUGAGAACUUCAAAGUGAUGAAGCCUUUGGUCUCAGCUUUGAACAUUCUACAGUCUGAGAUCAACAUGCAUAUGUGGUGGCUGCUGCCAGUGAUCUUCUUACUAAAAACAAAACUUCAAAGGCUGGAAGCAUCUUGCCAAAUGUACCUACCACUUAUCAGAGCCAUUCAGAACAGUCUCCAAAAGCACUUUGGAGAAAUGAUGGAGGAGCCACAUCUUAUUGCUGCUGCAAUCCUUCUGCAAAAGUUGAAGACGUCUUGGACUGACAAAGCUGAUGUCAUCACAGCCGGUUUGGCGUACCUGAAGAAUCAUCUUGACACAAUCACACAGGACGAGACUGCUCAUCUAAGGCAGCAUUCAUCUGAUGAAGAGGAUUU